rnacentral:rRNA from 1 species
AUUGAACGCUGGCGGCAUGCUUUACACAUGCAAGUCGAACGGCAGCGCGGGGCAACCUGGCGGCGAGUGGCGAACGGGUGAGUAAUAUAUCGGAACGUACCCAAGAGUGGGGGAUAACGUAGCGAAAGUUACGCUAAUACCGCAUACGAUCUAAGGAUGAAAGUGGGGGAUCGCAAGACCUCAUGCUCCUGGAGCGGCCGAUAUCUGAUUAGCUAGUUGGUGAGGUAAAGGCUCACCAAGGCGACGAUCAGUAGCUGGUCUGAGAGGACGACCAGCCACACUGGGACUGAGACACGGCCCAGACUCCUACGGGAGGCAGCAGUGGGGAAUUUUGGACAAUGGGCGCAAGCCUGAUCCAGCAAUGCCGCGUGAGUGAAGAAGGCCUCGGGUUGUAAGACUCUUUGUUCUAGGGAAGAAACGGACUGGGGC